rnacentral:rRNA from 1 species
UACGGGGGGAGCAAGCGUUGUUCGGAUUUACUGGGCGUAAAGGGCGCGUAGGCGGUCAGCACAAGUCAGUUGUGAAAUCUCCGGGCUUAACUCGGAACGGUCAACUGAUACUGUGCGACUAGAGUGCAGAAGGGGCAACUGGAAUUCUCGGUGUAGCGGUGAAAUGCGUAGAUAUCGAGAGGAACACCUGCGGCGAAGGCGGGUUGCUGGGCUGAUACUGACGCUGAUGCGCGAAGGCCAGGGGAGCAAACGGG